rnacentral:lncRNA from 1 species
CUAUCCCCAUUCUAUCCCCAUUCUAUCCCCAUUCUAUCCCCAUUCUAUCCCCAUUCUAUCCCCAUACUGUCCCCAUACUGUCCCCAUUCUAUCCCCAUUCUGUCCCCAUAUUGUCCCCAUAUUGUCCCCAUUCUAUCCCCAUUCUAUCCCCAUUCUAUCCCCAUACUGUCCCCAUUGCAGACCCACUCACUGCUCAUUCCCCGCAGUCAGAACAGCCGCCCCAUCACCGUGGCCGUCUCGGUCCCCGUGGAGGCGCACGCGGAGCUGGAGCUGCGGGGCAUGUCGCUGCCCGCCACCGCGCUGCUGCCCACCGAAUGGAGCCAGGAUGGGGACGACAACCAGACGGAGCAUCGCGGGGUGCGGGUGGAGCACGUCUACCAGCUGCACAAUAAGGGACCGGGCACCGUCACCAACGUCACCAUGAACAUCCGCGUCCCUGUCGUUGUCGGUGGCCGCGUGUGGAUCCACGUGGUGGAGAUCGGAACCGAGGGAGGGAUCGAGUGUGGGACGAACCCGGAACCGGACAAUGAGGAGGGGACACAACCAGAACCAGAACCAGAACCAGAACCAGAACCAGAACCAGAACCUGAACCAGAACCAGAACCAGAACCUGAACCCCACGAUGUGGGGCGACACAAUGGGACGCAGCGAUGGGAUGAGGAGGGGAGCGUCAGUGUGCACUGUGGCAAUACCAGCUGCGUGGCGGUGCGGUGCCAUGCGGGGAUCAUGGCGCAGGGACAGCGCGUGUUGGUGGCCGUCCAUGUGCUGCUCCGGAUGGACCCCGAGCGGCAGGUAACGGCACCGCGGGGACACGGGGACACCAUGGGGUCACCACCAGCCCCAUAGUGUCCCCUUGGUGUCAUUCUGUGUCCCCAUCA